ensembl:lncRNA
GGGUGGUUGGUCAGGGUGGAUGGUCAGGGUGGGUGGUCAGGGUGGAUGGUCAGGGUGGAUGGUGAGGGUGUUUGGUCAGGGUGGGUGGUCAGGGUGGAUGGUCAGGGUGGGUGGUCAGGGUGGAUGGGUAGGGUGGUCAGGGUGGAUGGUCAGGAUGGAUGGUCAGGGUGGGUGGUCAGGGUGGGUGGUCAGGGUGGAUGGGUAGGGUGGUCAGGGUGGAUGGGUAUGGUGGGGGUGGUCAGAGUGGUUGGUCGGGGUGGUCAGGGUUGAUGGUCAGGGUGGAUGGUCAGGGUGGUUGGUCAGGGUGGUUGGUCAGGGUGGUUGAUCAGGGUGGUUGGUCAGGGUGGUUGGUCAGGGUGGGUGGUCAGGGUGUGUGGUCAGGGUGGAUGGUCAGGGUAGAUGGUCAGGGUGGGUGGUGGAUCAGGGUGGAUGGUCAGGG